UACGUAGGUCCCGAGCGUUGUCCGGAUUUAUUGGGCGUGAAGCGAGCGCAGGUGGUUUAUUAAGUCUGGUGUAAAAGGCAGUGGCUCAACCAUUGUAUGCAUUGGAAACUGGUAGACUUGAGUGCAGGAGAGGAGAGCGGAAUUCCAUGUGUAGCGGUGAAAUGCGUAGAUAUAUGGAGGAACACUGGUGGCGAAAGCGGCUCUCUGGCCUGUAACUGACACUGAGGCUCGAAAGCGUGGGGAGCAAACAGG
rnacentral:rRNA from 1 species